UUAAGAAUCUUGUGCAAUGGGCGAAAGCCUGACACAGCGACGCCGCGUGCGCGAUGAAGGCCUUCGGGUUGUAAAGCGCAAUAGACAGGGACGAAGAAAGUGACGGUACCUGUUGAAAGCACCGGCUAACUACGUGCCAGCAGCCGCGGUAAUACGAAGGGUGCUAGCGUUGUUCGGAAUCACUGGGCGUAAAGCGCGCGUAGGCGGCGAUAUAAGUCAGAGGUGAAAGCCUGGAGCUCAACUCCAGAACUGCCUUUGAAACUAUAUUGCUAGAGUGUCGGAGGGGAUAGCGGAAUUGCUAAUGUAGAGGUGAAAUUCGUAGAUAUUCGGAAGAACACCAGUGGCGAAGGCGUCUACCUGGCCUAAUACUGACACUGAGGCACGAAAGCGUGGGGAGCAAACAGGAUUAGAUACCCUUGUAGUCCCUGAGCGGGCUGGCAAGGCGCAU
rnacentral:rRNA from 1 species